GCCGGUGUGGCGGAAUGGCAGACGCGACCGACUCAAAAUCGGUUGCCCGCAAGGGCGUGUGGGUUCGAGUCCCACCACCGGCACCA
rnacentral:tRNA from 1 species